AAGGUGUGGUGGGAAUGUCACGGCAGCCCGGUGCUGUCCCUCCCCCUCACCCUGCCGGGGGUGUGGCCUCGGGCGCGGGGCCCAAUCAGGGCGCAGGGGCCCCUCCCGGUUACCUGGGCAACCAGCAGCAGGCGGCCAUUAUGAAACAGAUGAUGGUGAUGGAGCAGGAGAAGAGAGUUCAGCUCCACAUGAUGGAACAACAGAAACAACAGCUACUGAGAGAACAGAGACAGCAGCAACAACAGAUACUAUUGGCUGAACAGGUGAGAGGAGGGAGGAGACAGAACAGAGACAGCAGCAACAACAGAUACUAUUGGCUGAACAGGUGAGAGGAGGGAGGAGACAGAACAGAGACAGCAGCAACAACAGAUACUAUUGGCUGAACAGGUGAGAGGAGGGAGGAGACAGAACAGAGACAGCAGCAACAACAGAUACUAUUGGCUGAACAGGUGAGAGGAGGGAGGAGACAGAACAGAGACAGCAGCAACAACAGAUACUAUUGGCUGAACAGGUGAGAGGAGGGAGGAGACAGAACAGAGACAGCAGCAACAACAGAUACUAUUGGCUGAACAGGUGAGAGGAGGGAGGAGACAGAACAGAGACAGCAGCAACAACAGAUACUAUUGGCUGAACAGGUGAGAGGAGGGAGGAGACAGAACAGAGACAGCAGCAACAACAGAUACUAUUGGCUGAACAGGUGAGAGGAGGGAGGAGACAGAACAGAGACAGCAGCAACAACAGAUACUAUUGGCUGAACAGGUGAGAGGAGGGAGGAGACAGAACAGAGACAGCAGCAACAACAGAUACUAUUGGCUGAACAGGUGAGAGGAGGGAGGAGACAGAACAGAGACAGCAGCAACAACAGAUACUAUUGGCUGAACAGGUGAGAGGAGGGAGGAGACAGAACAGAGACAGCAGCAACAACAGAUACUAUUGGCUGAACAGGUGAGAGGAGGGAGGAGACAGAACAGAGACAGCAGCAACAACAGCUACUAUUGGCUGAACAGGUGAGAGGAGGGAGGAGACAGAACAGAGACAGCAGCAACAACAGCUACUAUUGGCUGAACAGGUGAGAGGAGGGAGGAGACAGAACAGAGACAGCAGCUACUAUUGGCUGAACAGGUGAGAGGAGGGAGGAGACAGAACAGAGACAGCAGCAACAACAGCUACUAUUGGAUGAACAGGUGAGAGGAGGGAGGAGACAGAACAGAGACAGCAGCAACAACAGCUACUAUUGGCUGAACAGGUGGGAGGAGGGAGGAGACAGAACAGAGACAGCAGCAACAACAGAUACUAUUGGCUGAACAGGUGAGAGGAGGGAGGAGACAGAACAGAGACAGCAGCAACAACAGAUACUAUUGGCUGAACAGGUGAGAGGAGGGAGGAGACAGAACAGAGACAGCAGCAACAACAGAUACUAUUGGCUGAACAGGUGAGAGGAGGGAGGAGACAGAACAGAGACAGCAGCAACAACAGAUACUAUUGGCUGAACAGGUGAGAGGAGGGAGGAGACAGAACAGAGACAGCAGCAACAACAGAUACUAUUGGCUGAACAGGUGAGAGGAGGGAGGAGACAGAACAGAGACAGCAGCAACAACAGAUACUAUUGGC